CAGUCGCCGCGGUAACACAGAGGGUGCGAGCGUUAAUCGGAUUUACUGGGCGUAAAGCGUGUGUAGGUUGUUGUUCAAGUCAGUUGUGAAAUCCCUGGGCUCAACCUGGGAACUGCUUCUGAGACUGAACGACUAGAGUACGGUAGAGGGUGGUGGAAUUUCCGGUGUAGCGGUGAAAUGCGUAGAUAUAGGAAGGAACACCAGUGGCGAAGGCGACUACCUGGACUGAUACUGACACUGAGGUGCGAAAGCGUGGGGAGCAAACAGGAUUAGAUACCCGCGUAGUCCCUGUCUCUUAUAC
rnacentral:rRNA from 1 species